GUAGGUGGCAAGCGUUAUCCGGGAAUUAUUGGGGCGUAAAGCGCGCGUAGGCGGUUUUUUAAGUCUGAUGUGAAAGCCCACGGGCUCAACCGUGGGAGGGUCAUUGGAAACUGGAAAACUUGAGUGCAGAAGAGGAAAGUGGAAUUCCAUGUGUAGCGGUGAAAUGCGCAGAGAUAUGGAGGAACACCAGUGGCGAAGGCAACUUUCUGGUCUGUAACUGACGCUGAUGUGCGAAAGCGUGGGGAUCAAACAGGAUUAGAUACCCUGGUAGUCCACGCCGUAAACGAUGAGUGCUAAGUGUUAGGGGGUUUCCGCCCCUUAGUGCUGCAGCUAACGCAUUAAGCACUCCGCCUGGGGAGUACGACCACAAAGGUUG
rnacentral:rRNA from 1 species